rnacentral:rRNA from 1 species
AACCUGGUUGAUCCUGCCAGUAGUGUAUGCUUCUCCUAAAGACUAAGCCAUGCAUGCCUUCGAAUACGAGGAAGCAAUUCUCUCUGAAUCUGCGAACGGCUCCGCAAACCAGUUGUAAACCAUAGCAAGCAGUCCCGGGGGGUCUCCUUCACUGGGGGCCCCCCAGGCGAAUACGAAUAACCAUGGUAAUUCUGAGGCUAAUACGCGUGAGUACUACCCCGGCCGACCGCAAGGGAGGUGGGGGGAUGUGCGAGCGUUGUACACGAGUAGGUAAGGGAGUAGGCGCAUUUCUGGACCGCUACAAAAAACGGAUGGGGGGACCGUCACGGGCUUAACUGACCGUGGCACCCCCUGCCCGAGCGGCUCUGGCUAGGUGCUUCUGACCUAUCAACUAGAAGGCAGCGUAAGGGACAUGCUAUGGUGACAACGGGUACAGAGGAUUAGGGUUCGAUCCUGGAGAGUGGGCCUGAGAGAUUGCUCAUACUUCUAAGGAAGGCAGCAGGCGCGCAACGUUCCCCUUGGGCAAAGCUCGAGGGCGUUAGGGGACAUAUGAAUGCCUGCCUAUAGGUGGGCACUAGCUGUACUUGAGNNNNNNNNNNNNNNUCGAGUAACAAUUAGAGGACA